GACGAACGCUGGCGGCGUGCUUAACACAUGCAAGUCGAGCGAUGGAGCUCCUUCGGGAGUGGAUUAGCGGCGGACGGGUGAGUAACACGUGGGCAACCUGCCUUAUAGAGAGGAAUAACCAUCCGAAAGGAUGAUUAAUACCUCAUAAUAUUGUAGCUUCGCAUGGAGCAACAAUCAAAGGAGCAAUCCACUAUAAGAUGGGCCCGCGGCGCAUUAGCUAGUUGGUGAGGUAACGGCUCACCAAGGCGACGAUGCGUAGCCGACCUGAGAGGGUGAUCGGCCACAUUGGGACUGAGACACGGCCCAGACUCCUACGGGAGGCAGCAGUGGGGAAUAUUGCACAAUGGGGGAAACCCUGAUGCAGCAACGCCGCGUGAGUGAUGACGGCCUUCGGGUUGUAAAGCUCUGUCUUCAGGGACGAUAAUGACGGUACCUGAGGAGGAAGCCACGGCUAACUACGUGCCAGCCGCCGCGGUAAGAC
rnacentral:rRNA from 1 species